ensembl:lncRNA
ACAAUUUCAAAUCAAUUUUAUUUUCUUAAAUUGGUGUUGUACAAUUUAAAGCCAAAAAAAACAAAACCCAACAUAAGGUCACACAAAACACAAAUAAAAAACAUUGACAAAGUAUCAAGCAUUUUGCCUUAUAAAGAACAUCAUCACCAUCUGCUCUCACAAACCUGAAGAUACGUGUUUAUUAGACUGAGGUUUCUUGAAAUCUAUUGAAGACGCCAGACACAAAACGCUGCAACAGGAAGGAAGCCAUGACACCAGCAGGUGGGCUACACUAGCAACUUCACAACGGUGGGGGCUGCUUUUGGGCUGGUUUCUUGCUUUUUUCUCUUUUUUUGUGUGUUUUUUUUUUUUCUUUUUGCAUACCUUGUCUACAAAGCAAUAAAUAUUAUUCACCAAAAAAAAGUUGGUUUCACGCUCCAUGCAAUUAGAUAAAAAAGGAAGUCACCAAAGUGAUGGCAAAAUAAAUCACCUGUCUGAUUUUUUUCUUCCCCCCCCCCCCCCAGUUUUGGGGGUGGUUUUUUUAUGUGUUUUCUUGUGUGUUUUUGUCUUUUUUUUGUUUUUUUUCAAGCACAGUGGCUAAGUUUCAAGUAUUGAGAGAAAAAACAUCUAUAUACACGUUUGUGUUUGCGUGUGUAUCCAUACACAUACACACACCUCCUCGUAUGUAUAUACACAAACACAUACAUAUAUACCGGCUGUAGGUCUGUAAACCACGCUUUUUUUGGAGCAAUAUAUACUUGUGUACAUUGAAUGUGGACGAUUUUGAUACAUUCAAGUUAUGAAGCACGGCUGGAAGGUUAGUGCUGAGCUCGCCAUGCGCAGGGACCAUCCCACCCGCGUGUCCGGGGCUGGAGCUGUCGCUGUGUGCCGGGGGGGCUCGGGGUGUCUGUAUUGCAGAGUCAGUCCUGGCUUAGUGCUCCCGCGCCACCUCCUGCAGCGUAGCCCUUUGCAGAACUGGCAAUAGCCUCUGGGCAGCAGUCUGGGUCUCCUCGGCGUUCCCAUCCACAGGCUGGGCCUUGGUUGGUUGGGAUUGUAUCCUUAUCUUCUGUUCUCUUUGUCCCAGGCACAAGCACAACGGCCACAGAAGCAGCAGGCUGCGAGUGCAGGAUGUAACAGCGGCCCAACACUGAAGCAUUUGUCAAAGCUACACUUAAACUUCCCUGUUUGGGGCGACUGGGAAUCUCUUUUAAUUCAUUUAUUGGCGUUUCAACACCCACGUUGCCAAAGAUGAUGCCAGCUCCAAAGUCAAUCGAGUUGCUCCUGAAACCCUUUGUAAAGUAUCACACUGAACGUGCCAAUAUUGAGAGGAAAAAAAGCGACGAGGACUUAACCACCAUGUGCAAAAUAUGUUUAAAUCCCAAAAAAAACAAAGCCUGAGGUUUUGAGUUGCUUUCAAAGAUCCUUUUCUGCCCAGCGCUAACAGAAUACUGCCACGACUGAUAAAUUAAGACACACACAUGCACACGCAGACGGAAAGGCAGCCAGCUCUCCUCUCACACAUGCUCACAGCAUCCGAAGCCUCAACCAGAGCCACUCGCACUCGCAGUCUCAUUUGGCUACAGAGUCUCCUUAGAAGAAAUGCUGAACAUAAAACUGAACACUACAAGAUUUCUUUAUAAAAAACACGAAGCAGCAAAUAAAACUUAAAAAAAAAAAGGGUUUCUAAUUGUAAGUGUGUAGGAUCUGAACGCCUGUUCUUGAGCUCUUUAAAAAGCUUUAUACUGACUGUCCUUAAAAGAACAUUUAAAUAAACAACAAAACAAACCAUGGUACUGCAAGUCAGCUUUGCCCAGUGUGGAGGAGGAACAGCACAGACUGCAGUGCUCUUUGCCUCACACUCACAAGAUACAGUACAGUUAAAUACAUACAGUUACACACAAACCAUAUCUAUAUCAAUAUAUAUUCACCCAGAGGAAUACAUAUUAAUAUACGCACACAUGUAGUGCAAUAAAACAACCAGGAAGCAAGGAAAAGGAAUAAAAAGAACAACAUUCCUAACAGUCGUGAUGUUCCUGGGUUGUUGUGUGAUGCAAAGUCAACUCCUCAAAGUUCCCAUAGUGUGUAAAGUGCUCCUUUGAUUCACAAAGCUAGUGUUUUCAGUUUGGGGUGGGGUGAGGGCUCCAGGAAAGGGGUUAUCGAGCCAACAGCUGAAAGCAGGACAGCGCUAGUGCUUCCUCCUGGUAGAUACCUACUGAGAGGCCGAGCUGAACAGCCACGAGUCCUUCGAGUUGAUCCUGCUGAGCUUAGUGACCAAGCGAGGAACAGGUUCAUUUUGGCUUCUUACCAACACAGGAGCAUUAACACUUUGUCAUCCUCCCGUUCCCUGUGCAGAGUCUCUCUCCCUGUGUGGUUUGCCCACAUGGGAAACACAACCUGCCCCAGCGCAGCGCCUCCUCUGCCUUGCUCAGCAAGUCUGUUGAGGUGGGAGCUACUUCAGCAGCGCUCGGGCAACAGGGAGCUGCCUCCCUCUUCUCUGCCAUUCAGUAAGCACUCCAAGGCAUAAACACAUGUGAGAGGGGACAACGGAGGGAAAGGAGGGGAGCCUCAGGGUGCCAGGAAGCUUGAAGAUGCCUGGCUCUCAGCUGGGUAGGGGAAAGUACACAAACUGGCCUUGAUUUCUGAAUGACACCCUCCAACGUUAACUGAAGCCAGCAGUUUCAGCACAUCCAUUGCCUGCAAUGGACACAGCACUGGAAUACCC